UCUUCCCUCUGGCGUCGUGCUUAACACAUGCAAGUCGAACGAUGAAGCCCAGCUUGCUGGGUGGAUUAGUGGCGAACGGGUGAGUAACACGUGAGUAACCUGCCCUUAACUCUGGGAUAAGCCUGGGAAACUGGGUCUAAUACCGGAUAGGAGCGCCUACCGCAUGGUGGGUGUUGGAAAGAUUUAUCGGUUUUGGAUGGACUCGCGGCCUAUCAGCUUGUUGGUGAGGUAAUGGCUCACCAAGGCGACGACGGGUAGCCGGCCUGAGAGGGUGACCGGCCACACUGGGACUGAGACACGGCCCAGACUCCUACGGGAGGCAGCAGUGGGGAAUAUUGCACAAUGGGCGAAAGCCUGAUGCAGCGACGCCGCGUGAGGGAUGACGGCCUUCGGGUUGUAAACCUCUUUCAGUAGGGAAGAAGCGAAAGUGACGGUACCUGCAGAAGAAGCACCGGCUAACUACGUG
rnacentral:rRNA from 1 species